rnacentral:rRNA from 1 species
UACGUAGGGUGCAAGCGUUGUCCGGAAUUAUUGGGCGUAAAGAGCUCGUAGGCGGUCUGUCGCGUCGGAUGUGAAAACCCAGGGCUCAACCCUGAGCGUGCUUCCGAUACGGGCUGACUAGAGGUAUGCAGGGGAGAACGGAAUUCCUGGUGUAGCGGUGGAAUGCGCAGAUAUCAGGAGGAACACCGGUGGCGAAGGCAGGUCUCUGGGCAUUAACUGACGCUGAGGAGCGAAAAGCAUGGGGGAGCGAACAGGG